UGUAGCUGCAGUCCUCAAUAAUGCUUCUCAAAGUAAUUUCCCUUCUUGCAUUGUAGAAAUGGCAAAAGCCCAAAACUCACUAGUUUCCGUACUUCCACUAAGGUCAUCAUCUACUCUAGCACCAUAACUUGCACUUUCUCGUGCUUCUGUUUCAUGCUCUUUUAAGUAAUCUUGACCAAUGCUCUCAUUCCUCCCUUGCCAAAAUUG
rnacentral:lncRNA from 1 species